CCUGUUUUUCCAGGUCAUUUAUAUGGCCCGGAAUGCUAAGGAUAACCUUGUAAGCUACUUCCACUUUGAUCGCAUGAACCUUACCCAGCCAGAGCCAGGACCUUGGGAUGGAUACAUUCAUAAGUUCAUGAAGGGACAAUUAGGUUGGGGCUCUUGUAUGACCAUGUAAAAGGUUACUGGAAGGAACACAAGGAAAGGAAUAUUCUCUACAUACUCUAUGAGGACAUGAAAGGAGAAUCCUUUUAGGGAGAUUAAGAGGAUAAUGCACUAUCUGGACCUGUCUGUUUCUGAAGAUGUCAUAAAGAGGAUUGUGCAGCUGACAUCCUUCCAAGUCAUGAAAGACAAUCCAAUGGCUAACUACUCCUACAUCCCAAAACCUGUGUUUGAUCAGUCCAUUUCUGUCUUCAUGAGAAAAGGAGAGGUUGGUGACUGGGUUAAUCAUUUCACCUCAGCUCAAUCCCAGAUGUUUGAUGAAGACUACGCAAACCAAAUGAAAGAUGUGGACAUUCCGUUCCGCUUUAGCAUUUGACUCCAAAUAAUUUGUGCAACAUUAAAUAUAUACAAUAUAUUAUA